GCAUGCUCUCAGGGGUGGGGGCAGAGAGGAGCCAGGAGCAGGAGAAAGAGGAUGGGUGAGACAGUGCCCCUCUAUGAUACUUCGAAGCUGGAGGCUGACAGACCAGUCAAGAGACUCAUGGGCUAAGAUGGAAUGGCUGGAAUGGUGUCCUCUCCCCUCACCAUAGCAUCAAGAGACUAACUUGUUCUUCUCUUCCAAAGGAGAUUGAUAGUCAGUGCCUGAUGGUUCUGUCAUAUGAGAGCAAGCAGUCUGGUCCUCUUCUCAUCUCACCUGCCCCAGAACCAUGGUGACAUCUAUUCCCUCCCCAAAUGCAGGGGCAUCAAUAGCAGGAAGAUCAUCAGUGGCAAAAACUGGUCUCCCAAGGUGGCCUGCCAACCACUUUCUAAAAGAAUACCGUUGUGACAAAUGAGGACUAGAAAGCCUUGACUGUGAGGGAAGUGGCACCUGUAGAAGAAAUUACAAGCUCCCGGCUCCUCAGGGAUUUUGCCUCAGGGGCACUGCUGUCCCCCUGGGCUUUUCAUACUAACCUCUGAGCAGGGACAGUCGGUGAGUGGUUGCUGUUGGCGGACAGCCAGGAUGGAGGGCCCCUUGUCCACAAGCAUUGGUGCCUGGUCUCCAGCCUCCCUCUAGAACAACAUUGUAUCACACACCAGUCUCCUGCCUUUGAUAUAGGGAGAAAAGCAACAUUCCAUCCUGCCAGGUCUCCUGUCUAGUCAGCUGCCUCUCUUGGGAAGAGGAAACACACCAUUCUAUCAAGCUCCAGACUCCUCCCUUAAGGAGAAGAAAUUAUUUCUUCAGCUCCCACUACUCUUCCCUUUUCCUGAAGAACCCAGGAGAACUCCACUCUAAGGCCUAGCCCCUGUGAACAAUCAAAGCCUAAGCGACCUAAUUCCUCUGGGAUUAAGAGAUUCCCUGACAGACAGUAUCUUCCCUGGUACAAUGAUUCUGAUUGCAGCCUUAUUCUCUGGCCCCUGUUGCCCAGUUCCUUUUCCCCACUCAGCCCAAGCUAACCUUGACUCCUGCCCAACUCUUGCCCUCAUGCUGGAGGACUUCAGCUCCUGUAUAGCUACCCUCUCAAAUAAACACCCUAACUGCUCAGUUCCUCCCUCAACUUGCUUCCUAUGGUCUCCUCCUGCACCCCACCUUAGCCACACACAAAGAUGGUCAUACCUUUGAUCUUGCCAUCUUCCACAAGUGUGCCAUCUCCAUGUUCAUGAACUCUAAAGUUCUCUUAUCUGAUUACAAUUGGUUAACAUCUCCCUCUCCCUCUCCCUCACAAUCCCGAGCCCUGGUCUUUUUCUCCGCUGUGACAUCUAAUCCCUUGGCCUCUCAGUUUCUUCCCAGGCAAUCAUCCUGGUUACACUAGUUACAGCCUUUUUACCUUUCCCAUAUUAAUCCCUAGUGGACUUGCCUCCUCAUUGUAUCACCAAUCUUGCCCUGCCAAGUCUCAUCCUGAAAUUACUUCCACCAUCUCCUGCCUUCACUCCCACAUAUAGGCUAGUAAAUGAGUCUGGAGGAAAAUCACAAAAUUCUGCUGACCGAGUCCACUCCAGAUUUAGAAUACAUAGCCUCAACUUUGUCCUCCCUGAUGAUUGUAAGGCAAUCCUUUUAAACACUCACAAUUGACUGGGUAGCUAGGUGGUGCAUCAGAUAGCAUAUUGGACUUUUACAGUCAGGAAGACUUAUUUUCCUGAGUUCAAAUCUGGCCUCAGACACUUACUAGUUGUGUGGCCUGGUCAAGUCACUUAAUAUCAUUUGCCUGAGUAAAAUCUGUAAAAUGAGCUGAAGAAGGAAAUGGCAGACCACUCUAGCAUCUCUGCCAACGGAGUCAGGAAGAGUCAGACAUGACUCAAAAAUAACUUAACAACAAAUUAAUUCACUAUCCCAUUUACUUCAGUGGUUCUUCCAAACUUUUUAAAAUCUCUCCUCAAAGCUCCCACAGCUUCUCUUCCCUCCACCUACUCAGCAGAGAAUCUUGGGUAAUAUUUUACCCCCAAAAUUGGUACCAUUCACCAAGAAUUCCCUUUUGUCCUUUCACCCUUGUCUUACAUGAAAAAGAAGCUGUUUCUAUGAUCUAGCAUCUCCAACGGAUUGCUCCUUCUUUCAUCUCCACUCUAAUCUCUAUUUCCCUGCUACCUACAAACAUGCCCAUGUCUCCCCAUCUUCAAAAAAUCCUCAGUUGAUCUUUCUAUCCUCUCUAGCUAUUAUUGCACAUUUCCUCCCAUGGUUAAACUCUAGAAGGAGGCUAUCAUAUACAUCCACUUCCUCUCCUCUCACUGUCUUCUUAACUCUCUAUAGUCUGGCUUCCAACUUCAUCAUUCAAACAAACCUGCUCUUUCUAGAAACAUUAAUGAUGUCUUUAUUGGCAAAUCCAAUGGCCUUCACAAAUCCUCAUCCUCUUGACUUCUCUGCAGGCUUUGACAAUGUCUCCUUGAUACUCUUUUUUUCUCUAGGAUUUUGGUGAUACUACCUUUUCCUGAUUCUCCUCCUACCAAAUAUGACUGCUCCUUCUCAGUCUGCUUUGCUGGAUCUCCAUCCAUGUCAGGUCUGCUAACUGUGAGUGCCUUUCAGGGUUCUGUCCUCACCCCUUCUCUCUCUAAGGUGCUUGGUGACCUCAUCAGAUGUCGUGAACCUAAUUGUUAUUUCUGUGCUAAUGAUUCUCAGAUCUACUUACUCAGCUUGAACCCUUCUGCUGUCUUCUCUUUGGGCUAGUCUCACAUCUUCAACUGCCAUUUGGAGAACUUGAACAUGUCCCAUAGACAUCUUAAAACUAAAUAUGUCCCAAACUAAAAUUAUAAUUUCCCUUGCAACCCUCCCCUCUCUUACCUUCUCUGUUAUUGUAGAGGGUACCACCAUACCUUGUUCCCUAGAUCCACAGAAUAGCAAGGAGGAGUCAUCCUGGACUCCUUGCCAUCUCUCAUCCCACCCCAAUAUCCAAUCUGUUGUCAAGGCCUGCUGAUUGUACCUUUACAUCCCUCAAAUCCUUCCUCUCCUGCCACCUUCUGAUAUUAUGUCCUCAUCACCUCACAGCUGGACUAUUGUGAUAUCCUGCUGGUCUUUCUCCACUACAGUCCAUUCUUCUUUCAUCCACUAAAUGAUCUUCCUAAAUCUCAGGUCCUACCAUGUCACAGCCCCACUCCCCACCCAAUAAACUCCAGUGGCUCCCAAUCAUCUCUAUAAUCAAAUACAAAAUGCUCUGUUUGGCACUCAAAGCCCUUCAUAAACUUUCCUUCUCUUAUCUUCUCAGUCCUCUUAUGAAUUACACCAUCCUCACCAUCCAUGUACUCUUCAAUCCUGUGAUAGUAGCCUCCUCACUAUUCUUAAAAAAAAAACAAAACCCUCCAUCUGCUGACUCUGGCCAUUUUCACUGGUUGUUCUCCACACCCAGAAUGCUCUCUUUUCUCAUCUCUGCCUCACUUCCUUCAGCACCUACCUAACAGCCCAUCUUCUACAGAAAACACAUCCCAGACCCUCUUAAUUCUAGUGCCUUCCCACUAUUGGUUUUCCUAUUUAUUCUGUAUAUAGCUUAUUUGUAUAUAGUUGUUUAUAUGUUGUCUCCCCAUUAGACUGUGAGCUCCUUGAGGGCAAGUUUUGCCUUUCUUUGUAUUCCCCAUGCCUGGUACAUAGUAGGCACUUAAUAAAUAUUUAUUCACUGACUGGCUGAUAAAGGGUUAUUCCCCUUAAGGUUGGGUGUGGGAAGCAAACAGGAAAUAGGUAUGAGAAGCACUGAUAUUCCUAAGGCUCUUGAACUCUGGACCCUGGGCUUUCUUUACCAAUGUUGAAGGGUGGUGCCAGCAAGUGGUAGAGGAGACUUGGCCUUCCUGGCAUGCACGUGCACGUGCACGCACACACACACACACACACACACACACAAACUCAAAACAGUGCCCUGUACUGAAAUCUUUUUACAUUCCUCUUUUUGAAAGUCUAGUUUCCUAAUGGAAACUGGGCACACUGUGUACCUACGAAGGAUUCCUCCUUGAAGUUGGUUAUAUAUAGUAAGCAUCUGACUAAGAGCAAUUGACAGAAGUAUCUCUUGAGUGUUCUGCUUUGACAAGAAAAAGAAAAAGACAUCUCAUUGAGCGUAGUUAAGAAGGGAUAGAACAGUCUGGGGUAAAUCAUGUCUAGUAUGUUAUGAUGAACCCUAAUUCCUGGAACUUUUGGUCUUGUCCAUAUUUGAUUUUGUGGGAUUUUUUCUUUUCUUUGGAGAAUAAUUUAUUUACAUCAAUGGUAGAAAAGUUCAAAGUCAGGAUGGAUCUUUGUCACUUUAUCUCUAAUCAGAGGUGGUUCAAGUUGUGGAAUGUAAAACAAAACAAAACAAAAAACAGUCCCUGGAAGAUUUGUGCCUAACAUACAGAAUAAAGAAUUUUUAUUCUAAA